UACGUAGGGUGCGAGCGUUGUCCGGAAUUAUUGGGCGUAAAGAGCUUGUAGGCGGUUUGUCGCGUCUGCUGUGAAAAUCCGGGGCUCAACCCCGGACUUGCAGUGGGUACGGGCAGACUAGAGUGUGGUAGGGGAGACUGGAAUUCCUGGUGUAGCGGUGAAAUGCGCAGAUAUCGAGAGGAACACCUGCGGCGAAGGCGGGUUGCUGGGCCGACACUGACGCUGAUGCGCGAAAGCCAGGGGAGCGAACGGG
rnacentral:rRNA from 1 species